GCCUUCCUUCCCAAUAUUUGCCUUUUGUGGGCAAAAGCUGUCGGUGGAGCAGAGCUCUCCGGCACGGCCAGCCGGAGGAUUUGUGCACUCCGAUGUUUUACUACUGUUAUGAUUCCUCAUUGACUGAAAGUACAAAGAAAAUCGCCGUGUAAACAAGUCGCCGUCUGAAGGGGAUGUGGGCGAAAUUCGGGGCAAGCAGAACCUCAGCAGGGAUUUAAGGGAAGAAGGGAAACAAGGGGAAAACACGACAAUCCUGUGUAAGGUUUUCUCUAUGCAAUGGCAGUAUCACUUCGGAGCUGUGCAGGGUUUUUUUUCCCCAUGUUUCAUGGGGCAGAGGAGAGCCCUAAAGUGGUUUUUUCUCCCUGAGAAUAUCUGGAUGGCAUCGAUCUGUCUCCCAACAGAAAGAAGUAGGUUCCAGCAUGAGGCUUAGGGGGUUUCUUCAUUCUCCCACCUGAAACUAGCAGUUUUUUUUUUCCAUGAAACUGUAUUUUAUUGCAUUCUUUCUUUUGAGCGGGUCAAUCCCCCCCCUUUUCUUUUAACCUAGCAACAUUAAGCAACGCUGCAGAGGGAUUGUCAACACUACAGCAUUUGGCUUUGGGGAUAACACCACUGCUGUCGGAGCCAGGUAGGCCCUGCAGAGGUGGGGGGCAGCAGGAUGGAGGUUGAUGCCCCCCCCAGCGCUCACCCCCAGGUGCUCACCCCAUGGGCAGCCCCCAUGGGGUGACCCACUGAAGGACGGGGACAGGGGGUUGUCCCCACCAUGGCACACACAUGCAGACAUGUGCACACACAUGUGCACGCGUGUUCACGCGCACACCCUCCUCUAACCCCGCAUCCGACCGCGCCGCUCCCGAGCAGCGCUAAUGAUGCCGCAGCACCAGCGAUGCGGUGCGAGGCAAAAAGCAGAUGAAAGUGAUGUCACAUUAAUGUCAGCUCACAACUCGAGCCCACACAGCCUUGAUUGCUCUUAUUAAUCUUGCCAAUUUGUCUGUCAGCACUCAACUAAUCCCUAAAUAGCCUCCCAACAGGUGCUUUAUGCUUCCGCCACAUCGCUGCUCCCCGGCAUCCCCCACCCUUCCCCCCCGAGCCCCGGAGCCCUCCUCGGUGACACCGUCUCUCUCCUGUCCAUCUGGGAGCAGCUCCUUCCCCGGGAGGGCUGGAAGGGAGAGAGGCAGCUUUGCAGAUGUUGUUUAGUCUGUGCACAGAGGGCGCGGAGCUGGGGGCUUCCAAAUGGAAGCGAUGGGAGGCGGGGAGGGGAUGCUGGAGAAAAUCACCUUGGGUUGGGUGGGGGUAAAUGGGGGAUGAAUAACACCCCCCCCCCCAAACUGGAGUUUGCUCACAUCACUGUGAAUAUCUACACUUAUAGCACACGAUGGUUGCAUUGCUUUUAUGUAUCACUGGCUUGUUGGUUUUAUUGAGAGGGGAGGAAAGCGUAGCGCAAAACCGAAGCUGCAGUGGAAAAGCCACAUUACACCCUGAGCAGCUUUAUCCUGCAAUUAAGCCGAGGGUCAAACAUUUCCUUUGCUGUGCUAUCAGAAAAUCCACUGGCUUAUUGCAGUGUAUAUUUAGCUGUGAAGUUCCCGCUGAGCUCAGAGUGGAAGGCUGAAAUUAUUGUGCUCCAUCCUCCCAGCACUCUUAUUUAGCACAGUAGUUUUAAACACAGGUUUUGCAUGCAGGAAACCCUACGAACCACUAAAGUGGAGCCUAAGCUGCUUUCCUGCAUUAAAAUAAAAAAAAAAAAAGAAAGAAAAAAAGGGAUAUAUAUACAUGUAUUUUGGUUUGGCAGCUCGCUGCAUGGAGCAGCUCGCACGCAGCCUUCAGCCCCAUGCGCUGCAGCUCACCUGGAGGAUGCUGUGCUCUGCAGGAGGAGCUGCCAAACCCGGCUCUGCUGGAGCAGGCUCCAGUUUUACAUCCGAAGUUGGCUCAGGCUGCUUCCAGCCCUGCGCUCAGCACUGCAGGAAGGAAGCUUUCAGGGCAUCCUCCACUGCUCUUCCAAGAGAUUCACCAAGGGGAGCCUACCCGCUGCUAGCGCUUGGGGCUGCUCAUCAUUAACCCUUGGGUGCUUCAGAUCAGGUCCUGAAAGCCCUCUAAAAACACCAUUUGCAACCUCAAGCCAUUUCCCUCCAUCCUGACCUGGGUUUAUUAUCGGGAGACAGAUAGAUUUUUCCUUCUUUCUCCCCAUCCAUUUAUUUCAACCAAUAAGACGAUCCAUCACGGCGCGCUGGAACCGACCUACGAUCCGGGGAUAUUCUUAGAUACUCAGCAUGUCAGGAAACGGCUCACAGCCCCACUUGAUGCAAAUAUUUGGACGAGCGAGAGGUAGGAAGGAUUGUCCAAAUGUUUACUGAAGGCUGUUGAUAGCCCAAGGAUUUAUAACUGGCGCAUAAUGCCUGCCCCCACACAGCUCCUCUAGCAGGUGCAUCCAGUUUCAGCAUGACACAUGGUAUGCGCGUGCUCUGGGAACGGGGAUGCAGGAGAAAGUGCUUUCACAGGUCUCGCCUCCCUCUUCCCAUCUUCAUUAAGGUUUGGAGAGGCAAGGCAGGAGCUCAGGAUCAGCUCUGGUGAUAGAGAUCCCCAGCAGCAAUUUACACCUGAAGGCAAAACUUAAGCAUCGAGCCCGUUUGGUUGGAAUUUCCCAAGUGAAACCAAGGCUCUGAAUUAUUUAGGCCCAUUGUCACACUCCUUCAGUGCUGAGAUGGAGAAAUUCACAUCAUUCUAGCUAUUCCCCUUUCCAUUUCACUUCCUAACUCACACCACCAGGGUUUGAUCUCUUCUUCCCCACAGUAAUCCCUAAUUACUGUUGGGGGGACAUCACUGCCAACUGAUUGGGUUUAACCUUUUCUGGUGUCCAAGGAGGAGCAGUUUUUUGGUGGCUUUGAGGACCCCAAUGGAAAUGCCCCAGCACCCACUGCCAGACAGCCCCUACACCACUGACAGAGAACAGCAUGCUCAGAGCAGAGCACGUUGGCCAACUAGAGUUGGAGAUACACUCAAGGAAAGCUUUAGUACCUUGCCCAAGGCCAACGAGCAAUGGCAUUCAAUGGCAGAAAGAAGUCAGUUUGCUGAUACCCUGUCCUGCAUAACCCGUCGCCUAGAUGCCCUCAGGUUGCAGGGAGACAUCAGAUGGCUCCAACACAACCUCCUGCUCAAAGCAGAUCCAUGGUUCAUGCAAGAUCAGUCCACUAUAGCUUUGUGUAGCUGAGCCUUGAAAACCUCCAAGGACAAAGCCCAGCAGCCAUGCAUAUGGAUAGUUCAGGCAGCAGAGGAGCUGUUGGUGCCCUUGUGCCCAUCCAACCAGGCUCUCAGACUCUGCCAUCAGCUCAGUGGCUGCUUUGUCUGUAAGCAUUCCUACAUUGCAUUACUGAGAAUCCUGUGGAACAGGAGAAAUGGGCACGGAGCUGAAUCACUCAAGUCUGCUAAUUGCCUUUUCCUCAACCAUUCAGUAGGUUUUGACUAUGCUAGGAACAAGAACGCAUGCACUCAGCAUGCUGCAGACGCCCAGACAACGUGCUUUUCUGUGUAACUAGCAGCAAUUGUAUCUGCUGCAGAACAGCCUUUAAUUCAUUGCAGCCCCGGAUGGCAGAGUUUGCUGACUGCUCAGGCAGGAAUACAAUGGCCCUAUUGUUUUGCUAAGGGAAGAUUUCUUUGUUGCAUGCUGCCGUGUAAACUGUAUGUUUUCUAUCUGUUACCUGAUUCGUUUCGAUGGAAUCCCUUAGAUAGGCUUAAGGCAAUCUGCUGUCCUGCUCUGGAGCAAUGGGAGAAACUCUGGGAGGCUGAGGACCUGGCCAUUUGUGUUACCUCUAUUUGGCUUGCCUGGAAAGAAGGAAGAGAAUUUGGUGUUCUUCAUGGGAGCAGAAAUUGAGUAAUAAAAUACACGGGGAAAAAUGUAGUAAGUGCUCAAAUUCCAAAGUCAUCUGCUGUGCUCGAUGAAGGUUUUCUUUAUAUAUCAAAAGAAUUCGGUCCUGGUUUUGGUGUCACAUUCUCAGCAUGACCUUAAAAGUGUAGCUGUAACUCAGACUAAUCCGGACUUCUCUCUCCUUAAACCUAUUGCUCAACAAACACCCAACAGUGUGGAAAUGUGUUUCCUAGAUGAGAAUCUUGAGCCAUCAACGGGCCCCAAGCCAGAGGGAUUCUGCAAAUGCACAUGGUGGUCAUGUUGUGCACAGCCCAAAGCCUUCUUCACAGCUGUGCCAACCAUGCUUCCAUACCAAUCUCUCCAAUUUCUCUUCGUGUUAGCAGUGGGAUUAUCUCCCUGGACUUGUUGGGUUGUGGUAUGGGGAUAGUCUCCCUAUAGAUCUCCUUCCACAGGUGCUUCUCUCCCCAGACCCUUUGUGUAGAUAUAGUAAAGCAGGGGUUUAAAAGAUUGGUAAAAGGAUUGGAUUUAAGGCGUUGCAGCCCAAAAAUACAAUCCUAAAACCUGAAUUUGCCUGUCAUCUGAACCCAGAUGCAUCCACACGGCAUGGGGGCAACAGCAAGCUGUGGCAGAAGAGAGGGUCUUGUGCAGAUAUGUUCUCCGGUCUCUGUCACAGCAGUUUUAGGAGAGGAAGACUAUGGAAAUCCAGUUAAAAACUGCAAAACCAGUAGGAUCUGGGCCAGGCUUAACCAAAGCAGAAAUAAAUCAGCUCAGCCACUGGUGUGUUUCAGUGCAUUUGGGCUUAGAGGCGAUGUGGGCGACGGCUUGUGGUCCAGACCAGCAUGGUGCUUUUAGCUAUAUAUAAUUAGAUGUUUUUUCUACUGCAAACCAUUACUGACAGAUUGAAAGGGUUUUAUUCCACAGGAUUUUUCCUGCCUCGUCUGCCAGGGAACAAGCAGGCCUCACUCAAGCUCUGCUUCGUUGGUGUAAAUCACAGCAUGGGGCUACCUUAUCUCAGCCAGAGCCCCCGUGCAGGAAUGCUGCUCUGUCCAGCCCUCAGGCCACCCACCCCUGAUCCCGGGCUCCAGCAUCUGCUCCAGGCCCAAGCUCUGACCCUUCAGAGACAUAUUUUUGCAAGGUUUCUGGCCAGCAGCUCCAAGGACUGUCACAGCCAUGUUGUGCGUUUGGGAACGUCAUGCAAUGGGGCUUUAACUGUGAAUGGAGGACAUCCUGGCCCCACUAUGGGUGGGAUAAGAACAACUCUCACCUCAAAGGUGAGUGUUUGGAAGUGGAGGGGGGCAGUGAUGGGGGCAGGCUUCCCUGAGAAGCAAAUCAGCACACGUGCACCCAAAAUUUCCCAAACCACAACCUUAUGGAGGCUCUUUUGGCUGUAGGGUGCACUGAUGACAGAGCCAGCUCCCACCAUCUGUGGAUUUCCUCAUCCUGGCAGCUCAGUGGGGAGCAGCAGGUCCUAGCUAAAUGCCUUGUGGUCCAGAUGCCAUGGACCAUCCCCCCUGGAUUCAAUAAGAGCAGUGCCCCUACAACACCAUGGUGAGCAGUUGCAUGGAGGUUUGAGCCAUCCCAGGGUGGAGAUCACCUUCUCCAUCCCCACAUUUGCCAUAAGCCCAAACCCAGCCCCAUCACAUGCAAUGAUAAAAAGGGAACUGGCAGCACAAAACUCGUUGUGAUUUCCAGGCUGAUGUCUGCACAACCCUACUGGCUUCUCCGAAAGAACCAAGAGACACAAACCUGUUCUGUCCUAAGGUUUCCCAUUAAGCUAAUUACUGCUAAUUGUACCACUUGGCUAUCUCACCAACCGCACCCUGAGCAGGGCUGAUAGGGUAUCAGUGAGAUAAGAAGCACUCGAAUAGCACAGGUAACAGAACUUUGGGAGGGGUUAUCACCCCUACCACCCUCCUUUGGGGGACACUGAGGUCAUAAGGAUGUGUGCAGGGGCUGGCACACAACUAUAAGCCUUUCAGGAAAUGCUACCGAGGGGUUUUGGUGACUGUUCUCUGCAAGUUGCAGAGAAGCAAGCUGGCAUUCAUUUCAUAGUAAUUCCUUUAAAUUCACUUAGCAUGCGGAUUAUUUGUAUGAGCUGUUUUUGUUGCCGUUAACACAACACUGUGGAAAUGGAGGUUUCAUUAUUUCUCCAUUUUUUCCCCCCUCCCACAGAGAAAUAAAUGCUGUUCUUUUAACAAA